UCUCGCUCGGGCUACUCCUUUUUCAUUCUCGUCCUGACGGAGAUUCCUCUCUUUCUACCUGAGUACAUCUCUCACUCUCAGGGCAUGAAGUCCUGCCUUAUCCUCUUCUGCUCAGCUUAGGCUAUUCAGCUCUUUAUUUAAUCAAUCAGAAGGUGCCUUAGGCAGGCAAGGAAGGACAGAGACACAUCUUCACGCGGUGCAUAAACAACACUCCAACACUACCUUUCUUUGUGUUUGUUUGGUUUUGCUUUAUAACUUAUAAUUCCAUCACAUCACUGAGGGAAGCCAGGACAGAAACUUGGGAGCACCCAGGACCACCAGCUGAGGGAUGCCACUGCCCAAAGUCACCCACCUGAGCCUUCUCAAACAUCAAUCAAGAAAAUGCCUCACAGGCUUACUAACAGACCAGCUAGUUUGGAACACUCUCUUAACUGAGGUUUUUGCUCCAAAUUAUGGUGGUUUGAAUAAAUAUGGCCCCUAUA